AAGUUUAUAACUCUUAAUUUCAGCUGGUUUAUGCAGGAAAUGCAUCACAUCUGUUUCUAUGUUCUUCAAACGAAUAGGAUCUACUGUAUUACCAAAAAAUUAUCUGUUGUUUUAUUUUAUGUUGAUUUUGUGUUUAUUAGAAAAUGUUCCAUUUUUGUUAAAAAAGUUUAAUUUUUACUUUAUUAAUAUAUGUUUAUCAAAAUAUUAAAAAGUUAAUAUUCAAAUUAAAAAGUGUUGAAAAGUUUCACUCAUUUUCUUAAUUUAAUUUUAUCUGUUCUUUAGAACGUAUAUAUAUGUAUAUACAGUGCCUACGCUAAGGACUUUAAAUUAUUAGCCAAUACAUUAACCAAAUAUCAAAAGUAUUAGCCUAAUUUCAAAAAUCUUAGCCAAAGGCAAGUCCUAAUGAUUAACUGUGAUUUUUUAUGAUUUCCCAUGAAAACUUUAAACCAAGUUACAAAUAUAUUUUAAAUUAAACUAUUUUAUAAAAUUGAAAUUUAAAUCAAAAGACAUUCUACAUUUGGUCAGAAAUAAAUGAGCAAUGAAUUAAAAUGUAGAUGUUUAUCAUUAGAGGAAAAGAAAUGGGAUUAAUUUUUAAUAACUUGCUACACUAGAGCAGUAAAAUAAGGAUGAUCUUAAAGCAACUUUUGAUUUUAAUUUUUUAGGUUCUAACUAUCUUUUCUAUAAAUAUAUUUUAAAGAGAACGUUUCAUUCUUUAAAUCUUUAAUUUUUUCUUACUGUCUCACUUAUUUUUUACUGACACAAUUGCAAUCAUUCAGAAAAAAGGAUCGCGUAAAAGGUUAAUUAUUUAAAUAAUUAAAUUCUACUUUAUUCUCUUAUAUUGGUUUUUAUACUACUCACAGUUUUUCAUCACAAUUUCGGCCGGGGCUUAACACGUUCAUUGCCAGCCAAAGUGCCAGUGGUUAUACUAUAUCUAUCAUUAAGGAGUGGUAAUUUAUAACGAUAAAACCAAAGUUAAAUUUUCUUAUUUUAGCAACCAUUUUAGUUUUUAAAUUUAACAAUAAGUUUAUUUUAAUAAAUAACACGAGAAAGCAAAUUUUUUAUGGAAAUAGUUGGUUGAUAAUAUGCAUGUUGAUUGCACUUAAUCUGUUUUAUUGACAACUGUAGGAAAAAUUUUGCCCCACAAUAUCUUGUGAUACCGGCAACGAACAGAUUCACCUGUAUUUUAUGGUAGUUUGUUUCAUGCUUACAUAAUCUCUCUUGUUGCUUACAUUACCUGGAUUUAAUAUAAUUUUAAUUGGUUCUGAGACAUAUCUAGAUGAAAUUACUGUAAUCUAGUUUUAAAAAACAAAACAGGAUUUGUUAAUAAAAAAAAAAUGCAUUUUGACGUAAUUGUAAGGAUUGAAGGGAAUAUAUAUUUUUCUUUUUAGAAGAAAAAAUUGUUUGCCCGUACUUUUGCCAAAACACAAUCUGUUUCGCCGAAUUUACGAUUUUAUCUUGUUUGGCAAGGUAGCAAAUGCUUAGCGUGGGCCCUGUAUCUAUACUUACAUAUAUAUAUAUUUUUACUGAACAUUUGAUCGGGGGAUUUUUAGUAUUAAAUCUGAAGGUUUUCCUGUAUAAUUAACCUUUUUCUGACUGUUAUUUAACAAAAAUUUUGUGCAAAGGAAAAAAUAUUUAAUAUUCAGUGGAUUAAAUCUUUUAUUUAAUGAUCUAUUUUAAUUUUGAAAUUUUUCUUAUGUUUUGUUUUGUAUAUUUAGUAUUUGUGUUGUAUUAUGUAGUAAAUAUUAUUACGCUCUUUUAAUGCUAAAAAUCAUAUUUUUUCAAUGCUAAAACUGUACUCUCUAUAUUCAUGCUGAAGUUUUUUUUUAACUGUUCUACGUAAUAUAUAAUAUUGUUUUUUUCUUAUGCAUGUCUUAGGUAAGAGAAUAAUUCAUGUUGAGCCAGCUAAAUGUGAGGUUUCACGAAGAUCAACCGAUGUUACUGAAUAUUUAUGUUCUUACUGCUCUUAUAGAACAUUUUACAAAUGGAACUUAAAAAUGCAUUCUCGUGUUCAUACUGGGGAAAAACCUUAUCAGUGUAAUUUUUGUAGCAAAAAAUUUGCUUCAAACCAAAAUUUACAAAGUCACAUUCACAGUAUUCAUAGGUUGAAGUAAAGAUAAAUGGUUUUUACAAUCACCUCAACAUGUGUUCUGAAUGCAAAGGUUAUAACAAUGAGAAGAUUAUAAGAAUAAGCAAAACAUUUAAUAUUAUUUUCUUAUUCUUCAUUAAUGUAAAAGAAAUAUUUAUGUUGAGCCAGCUAAAUGCGAGGUUUCAGGAAGAUCAACCGAUGUUACCGAAUAUUUAUGCUCUUACUGCCCUUAUAGAACAUUUUACAAAUGGAACUUAAAAAUGCAUUCCCGUGUUCAUACUGGGGAAAAACCUUAUCAGUGUAAAUUUUGUAGGAAAAAAUUUACUUCGAACCAAAAUUUGCAAAAUCACAUAUACAGUGUUCAUAAGUUGUAAAGAUAAAUGGUUUUUAUUAUCAUCUCAACAUGUGUUCUGAAUGCAAAGAUUAUAAGAAUGAGAUAAACUUUUUAUAUUAUUUUCUUAUUCAUAGUUUAUGUUGGCACCAGCAAAACAUUGUGUUUGAAUUUUAAAUUUAGAAGCUGCUAAUUAAUUUUCCAAUAUCUUAUAAGAAUUUGUUCAUAAUUUCUGCUGUGUUUUUAUAGUGUGAAAUUUUGUUUAUAAAAUAGGCAUGAAUUUAAAUCGUAAAAAUGUGUUAUAUUCUAAAUAGUUUUGCUUAUUUUAGUUGCCUUAAAACUUUUCAUUAUAAACCACUUAUGUGUGAUAUUGAAACGAAAUUAAUUUUUUUGUAUCAAUUCAAUUCUAUAUAAUUUUUAAACACUUCUUCAUUAUUUAAACAGGAAUAAAUAAAUAAUAACAAAAUUCCUCUAAUGCAAUAUUUUUUAAAGCAAUAUUGUUAAUUUUAUAUUUUUAUAAUCUUUCACUACCUAAAAAUUUGGUUACAGAAAUAUGACAUUAAUAUUAGUCUACACAUUUUUACUACUCAUUUCUAGAGCUUCUGUUCCCUAUUUCACAUUGAUGUGUGAUUAUUUUAAUUCGAUUUCUCAUUAAACAAUAUCAAGUUAUAUUUAGUUACCUGUGGUGUUAGCUUUAGAAAAAAAUUGUGUUAUCAAAUAUUUGAAUUUCAUAAUUUUUAGCGUUGAUGCAUAAAAUGUAUAUAUGUAUUUUGCAUUUUGUAUAUAAUGCAAAAGAUUAAAAAUAGAAAAUAAAAAAUUUGUAUAAAUUUAUUUUAUUUAUUUUUGUUCUUCUUUAAGAAACAGAAAUUUUUAUUGUAUAUACAUUUUUAUUUUGAAGAAAGGUAUAUUUAUAAUAGUAGAUCCCUUCGUUCACCAACUCUUGUAAUUCUUCUCAUCCUUCUUAGUUUUUUUUUCCUUAUAAGUCAAAAUUUUCCUCCAAAACAAGGAACAUUUUGUUAACAAAACGUGCAAUUAUUGUAGUUUUAUGUAAGAACAUUCUGUCAAUAUGUAAAUCGUAAUGAAAUUAACGCGUACCUGAAUUUUAAAAAUAAUCAUCUUUCCUUGGAAAAUAAAUUCAUCUAAGAAAUACAGAUUGUGUGCCUAAAUAAGAAGAUAUUGUAUAUGCACAUCUUAAGUAAGAUAUUUUUUAAGUAUUUAAGAUUGUAAUACAGUGCACGUUUGUGUUCCAUAAUUAUUAAUAAAACUAUUUUGUUCCAUAAAUUAUUGAUAUUUCUUUCCUUAUAAAAUUUUAUUUAAAUUAAUACGUUUCAAUCAACUAUAUACCUAUGUUCCUUUUGUAUUAUGUAUUCAAACAAAUGGAAAACUCGAGAUUAAUAAUAAAAAAAAAUUUUCAGCGCUAUUUGUUCAUUCCAAAAUAAAAGCUAAUUUAGUUAGGCGGUCAAUUAAUAUUUUGUCUUGGGAUUUAAAAAUGAAAAAGUUUAGUCAAUCAUUGUCUUAAGAUAGGAAACUCUUUCAUAUUAGGACUUAGUUCGAUAUGACUUUCCAUUUUUAUUUUCAUUGUUUUGUUUCUUAAUUUGAUUUUACUUAGAAAUUAUUAAUUUAACAAAUUAUGAAUGUGAAUUUAGGUCACAAAAAUAAACUUAAUAAAUGCUUCAUGUUUAUUAAAUGCAAUUAUUGUGUUGGAUUAGAAUCAAAUCUGCAUUUUUAAGUUCUAUCUUAACUUAUUUUUUGAAAAUUUUGACUUAAUUGUAUCCCGGAUAUAACAAGAAAAAUUUUAUUGUAUGGUUGGUUCUUUCUAUGUUUAAAAACCUAUAUAAAACAAUGUUGUUUUAAACCUAGCUUGCAUUCAAUGUAGAAAUUUUCACUAACUUGUGGAAAAUUGAUUUAUUGAAAUAAACUGAAAAAGUUGAAUUACUGUUUGUGAAGAUCUCAUUCCUUUCAGAAGCAUUCCAAAUAAUCCCUUCAUUCAAAUAGUUGAAAAAUUCUAUGCAGAUAUGAAAUGAAAAGUAAUUAUGUAAAAUUUCUAAUGUUAUCAAAAAUAGCCAUGUUAAUAUAUUGUGCUGUUAUGCUUAGUAUCAUGAAUGUUGUAGAUUAACAUAAGUUGAUAAUAAGAAUAAGAUAAGAAUAAAGUUAAAUCAUAAAUAAUGCUCACAUAUUUUUCACUUUAAUGUAAAUCAUAACAAUUAACCCAUUUUGAAACAUUUUUAAUUCAAUUUUUGUGCACUAUGACUUUUAUUUGUGAAAAUUUCUAUUGAGUGGGAUGUAACGAGCACACCUUUUUAAGGAACUGAUUAUCUCAAUCCCUGCAUUCUUAUUAUAAUGGUGCUCAGCUUGAUAGUUAUUAACAGAAAUGAAAGGAAUUACUUAAUAAAAUUCUUUUAUACUUCAAAACAAGAGUUUUAUCCAUCAUCAAACAGUAAAGAAUUAUAAGAAUCCACUCUGAAUGCACAACGGAAACACUUAAUCACUUUUCCACAAACUUCCCUGCUUUUUGUUCGGUAUGUUGGUCUGAUCAUACAAAACAUAAUGCUGUAUCUUUAUUUAAUUCACAAUUAAUCUAACUGUUCAUAUAGUUCAUUACCUUAGUAAUAUGUAAAAUUGUAAAGUGAUAAAAUUAGGCAGGAAGCAUAAUUUUAUUUUAUUAUGUCGUUAUAUAGUUUUAAACUGCUUGUACUGUAUAUAAAAAUUCUAUAUUCUAGGAACAGGAUUUGUUUUGAAACGAGUUCUUCAUUAUAAAGACAAUGGAAUAGACUUGGAAUUGUCGAAAUUCCGUUUACAUCCAUGCAUGUAUUGCAGCUAUUCAACAUACAAUAAAACUAAUUUAAAACACCAUCUGGUUACUCAUACCAAAGAACGACCGUUUGUUUGUAAAGUCUGCAAAAAAGAUUUCACUCGCAAGCACAAUCUUGUACUGCAUGAAGCUAAGCACUAUGUAAUUUAAUUGGAUGUAGUAACUACA